GAAGCCCCGCCUCCUGGACGACCGGCCCUGACCCUCCGCGGCAGCCAAUCAGCGGCAACCGUGGCUGCUGUUAGACCUUUACCGAGGAAGGUGCUGCAGGUUCCUUUCGUGCUUACAAAGGUCUUUUUACAGGGGUCGCGGUUAUUUUAAAAAUGAAGUUGCCUUUUGUUAUUGCACUUGCAUUUAAAAUUCAGUAGAACAUGUUCUUUGUAGCAAAUCUUGAAAAGUCAGAGAAAUCUAACCUUUUUUCACCCAGGGAAUAGUAAUAUUUCUGUAGUUCCAUCCCGUCCUUUUUCUAUGAUAUAUCCUACUACAAAGCACUAAUAUCUGUUCCUUAUGAACCAUUUUGUGACCUUAAUAACACACUGGAUUUGAGGGGUUUUCCCACUAAGGAUAGUUGGGAAGCAUGAUUUUCAGUUUCUGACUAGCAUCUGGAAAUCCUGUGCCACCAUCCCCGUGGGUAGGUCCUGGUCUUAUUUUCCACACUGGAGUUUUAUAAACCACACUUGCACAUAAAUCCCAACCUCUCUCUCUGCCAGGUGCCCUGGGGCAAAUGCCAAAGAGUGAAAGUGGACCAAAGGGUGCCAGUGUGGUGACUGGAGACCCAGAUGCCUUCCCAGCUUGACCUUGCUGAGCUGGGGGCCUGGCUGGAGAGAAAGGACCCCCUACCCGUCUUUCCAGGGCACAGCCUGAAGGGGGACUGGACCUGCCACUGGACUGGACUCCUUCAGACCUCUGGCUUUCACUCUGAGGUGGGAAUGGGGUGUGGGGGUGUCGGCACUUAGAUAGGAGCCGUGUCCUUGAACAACUUGGUGAGGUCUUCUGUAUGAAGUGGCAGGAGCUGCACAGCCGUGACUGUGGUCAGGGACUUCAAAAGCAGAAACUGGCCGCGUCCUCUCUGCCACCCCCCUCCGUUAUUCCAAACACACAGAGAAAUCCUGGCCUCUCCUGUGGUCCCCAUCCGUCUCUCGUCCAGGGUGUCAGGGUUGCUGUGCUCAGAUGUGGGGUCUGCUGUAGCUCAGGUGUGGAAUUCCAGGUGUGUUGACACCAUCCACCUCAAAUUCCUAGGGGCACAGAAGGUAUGGUGCAUUUUAUUCACCUCAGAAAUGAACAAAACAUGAAAUUAAAGAGAAUUUCAUUGAUUUGGCUUUCACUUUAUUUCAAAUGGGAUAGAAGGUUGCAGCCCAUAAAAUAUAGCAAAAUUAAAUUAUUUUUUAAAAUAAGAAAAACAGAGGAAGGACAUUUGGAUCUUGAUCCAGAUGUUGCUGUGACUUGUGUUCUGACAUGAGCACAGGUCUCUGCUGCGACCACCUGGCAGCAGACUGUACCAAGAAACCAGUGGACAGACGCUGGACUCACGGAGUGGGCUUCACUGUGCUCUAGACACCGACAGCCGAGCCUCAGGGUCGCAGGCACGAUAGGACCCGGGGCAGCAGCAGAGCCAGGCUCUCUGCUUGAAGUGGGGGCCAGGGGAGAGAAGAGUCACCCCCACGUCAGAAAGUAGUGUGGGAAGUCCGGUUCGGUCAUUUCGAGGGGGUGACCCUGGGACAAGGAGGAACACGGCCGUGAUCUCAUGGCCCUUUGAUCAUGGAUUUAAAAAACCACGUUUCUGAACUGCAGACCAGGGAGUGGGGGAGGUACCCCCAACGGCUGCCGCUGGGGAGGGCAGGGGAGGGACCAGAGCCCCGAAGCCGGCCAGGACUCCCUGUUCUCCACGGUCCCUGGUCUGUAGCCUGAAGCAGUGACCAGGAGGACGCCUCCUGCCCUUUGUGUCAGUCAUGGCCUGGUGUCUGAAACCUGUCCUGAAUUCUGGCUCCUGGUCGGGAUUGGACCCAGGCCCGGCAGCUCUGUCCAGGGGCUGGUUGUCCUGUGGGCGGAAGGCCAGGCCUCUCCAGAUUCCUUUACACCCCCACCCCCACCCCCGGGGCCUGGGAAACACCGACACCCGUGGGUGCACGUCCAGUCUCACCUGAGCCAGUGUUUUCAAAUAUCCCAGGUUACACCCAGUAUCCUGAUCUGCUCAGAGUUUUCCUUCACCUUGGCACCAAAGAGGUGCAAAUCGUGGACCUCCAUCUGGGGAGGCCCUCCAAGGGCCAGUGGGAAACAAGAACCCAGCCGAGUCUCGAGUGGAAACUCUGGGGACUCUUCUAGGAGCCGUUUUCCCUGGUGGAAUUUCUGGUUCUUAUUGCUCGGUGUGAAGUAGAGGAACUAAGCCAGAGAUUCUGGUUUCAAGUCAACCCUAGAAACGGUGGCACUCAGUGAUCCCAGGAUGGCUCUGCCCCGGGGAAGGUGGGUCCGUGCCAGUGGAUGUCAUCUUUGACCUUGUGAAUGAUGUUCUUUCAAGAAUGACGUUCUCUGCUGAACCUGUGGAUGUGCUCUUUGUGUGGAGAACAACAGACUUCCCAGAUUCAAAUCCAUCAUGAAGGCAAUUUUUUAAAAAUAAAGUUUUGAAUGUCUGAAAAAAGAAGAAGAAGAAUGGCUGAUAAACCCUAGUCUGAAUUAGUAACUUCAGAUGAAAUUAAUGGAACCAUCUGAAGAAAGGACUUUAAGAUUCAACACGAUCCCCGUGAGACGCCGGCUGCCUGGCAGCGUGUGCUGAUCUGAAAUUCAUGCAGAGAUUCCAAGGAACUCGCGCAGCAAGACGAUCGUUCAGGAGAACAAGGUGGAAGGGCCACACUUUGCCACUUCAAAACCGGCCCACGAAGCCGCAGAGAUGAAGAAUACGAAGCCUCGCACACGGUCACCUCCUCCUCAGCCAGGGGCCACCACCAUUCAGCAAGCCAGGAAGAGUGUCUGAAACCGCACCGAGUGUGUGCGAGACCCCGACCUCCCACCAGACAGCGCUGCUGGGGACAGACCCAGGGCCUGAGGGACAGGCAGCACCGUCAGGCCAGGAGGGAACCUGGGCAGAGCCUGUGGCCUGGGAAGGAGCGAUGGUUUCUGCCACGUGACGCUCAAGUCCAAGCGUCAAGAGGAAGGAUUGAUAAACCGGAUUUCACCAGCAUCGACGGGUUCACGCCUCAGAUGACUUGUCCAGGUGGGGAAGGACGUGGGACACACAGAGGGGAGAGAGUAUUCGCACCCUGUGGAUCUGACGAGGGUCCACGAUCCAGAGUAUACAGAGGACUCUGGCAACUCCGUAAAAAAAGACGAACAGCCCAGGUUUCCAGUGAGCCGGGAGGGAUCUGAACGGGCCUCCUGCAGAGCAGACGGACGGGAAAGAUACCGGCCUCGGCCGCCAUCCAGGACACGCAGAUCCAAACCCCGUGUCACUCCCAGCCCCAGUGCUGCCCUCCUCUAAAAGAUCAUGACGUGCUGGUGACGGAGCGGGGACCUGGACCCUCCCUGCUGGUGGGAAUGGCAAAGGGUGCCCCUCGGGCACAAGGGGCGUGGGGGUGCUUUGCAGGGCAAGUGGUAAAGGUGAUUAAAACCGUGUGUUUCCUGAACUUUACGUAUCGUCCAGCGCGUCAGAUUACGGCGGGGGUAGACCUGUAGGUGUCCUGAUGAUUUUCUAAAGUUGAUUUUCUUCCUUCAGUGCGGUCUUUUUACUCUUGAUUUGGUGUCUUUCCGUCUCACCACAGUUGCAUUCUGUGAACGUGGAUUCGGGUCUGUUGGCGUCUUCGGGUUCUUCUUCUCUGCAGACCGUGUUUUAACUGGGAAGAUUCUCUUUCUGCAGGCAGAGGUGCCAGGUGAGCUCAGGAGGACGAGGCUGAAUGCAGUUAGAACGAGGACUCUCAUGAAAAGGACCUCCCGUGUGUUGGCGGAUUCCUAAAACAAGGAUGCAUUGAACGCUGGACCUCUUCCCCCACGGCGCUCUCCGCACCUAAUUCAUGUCUCCACCUUGGCUUUGGGGAGGAUAGUAGCCUCUCUUCUGGCACCAAGUGUCCCUGAUCCUUCCGCUUCACUGACGCUCCAGAGCUCAGAGUCCUUUGUUAGAGUCUGUAAACAAGUCAGGAUGGCGCCUGGCAUUGUGCAGAGGGAGUGGUUUGUGAGGUGGCGCCAGCGAGCCAUUAAGUGUGGAGAUUCCUGAUUGGUUGACGGCUGUAUCUAGUU